CCUACGGGAGGCAGCAGUGGGGAAUAUUGCACAAUGGGCGAAACCCUGAUGCAGCGACGCCGCGUGAGUGAUGAAGUAUUUCGGUACGUAAAGCUCUAUCAGCAGGGAAGACAAUGACGGUUCCUGACUAUGAAGCACUGGCUAACGACGUGCCAGCAGCCGCGGUAAUACGUAGGGGGCAAGCGUUCUCCGGAUUUAAUGGUUGUAAAGGGAGCGUAGACGGCAGCGCAAGUCAGGAGUGAAAUCCCAUGGCUUAACCAUGGAUCUGCUUGGGAAACUGUGCAGCUAGAGUGCAGGAGAGGUAAGCGGAAUUCCAGGUGUAGCGGUGAAAUGCGUAGAUAUUAGGAGGAACACCAGUGGCGAAGGCGGCUUACUGGACUGUAACUGACGCUGAGGCGCGAAAGCGUGGGUAGCAAACAGGAUUAGAUACCCCAGUAGUC
rnacentral:rRNA from 1 species